CCCACCCGGGCCUUCUCCUUUAGCCUUCUGUAGGGGAAGGCACCGAGCAGGGCAGCUUGGGGCCAAGGGGGCACUGCCUGGGCAGAGGAGUUGGGGCAGGCGCAUCACACCUGGCUGCCAACCACAAGAUUCAACUUGGCCGGGGCAGACACGCUGUGUGGGAAAAUUAUCUUUUUUAUAGACAGAGACAGAGGCAGAGAGAGAGACAGAGACAGAGAGACAAGAGACAUAAAGACAGACACAGAGGCACAGAGGCAGAGAGGCAGAGGCAGAGACAGAGAAGCAGAGAGACAAAGGCACAGAGGCAGAGAGACACAGACAGAGGCAGAGACAGAGAAGCAGAGAGACAAAGACACAGAGGCAGAGAGACACGGACAGAAGCAGAGAGAAAGAGACAGAGGCUCAGAGAAACAGAGAGGCUGAGAGGCGGAGAGGCAGGGGUCGAAUGGCAAAGUGGACAUGUGCCCUGGGUGAGGGGGGUACAGAGGCACCUUGUCAAAUUCUUAUUCUUGAAACUUCUCUGUGGGUUUGAAAUGACUUCCCCCAAAGCUAAACUUUUCUUUGAACGUUAAAGCAAUACAAUUCGUAAGCGACAACAAAAACAGAUGACAUGAAAAAUACCACAAGUUAACAGAGAGGACCUCACAGGGCUCAGGUGUGGGCAGAAAGGUGCCCCAGAGGGUGUGGGGGACUUCGGGGUGGUGGAGGAGGCUGAGGACUGUGUGUGUGCCCCUGGCUGAGGGCCGAGGGCGGGGCUGGGUGCCAGGCCCCCGGGGACACCUUGGUUAGGGUUAGGGUUAGGGUUAGGGCCAGGGAUCCAAGGCUGGAAAGUUGCCUUUCAGGGACUGCAGGAGGGAGGCCCGGUGCCCUGGCCAUGCUGGGCGCUGGGUGGAGCUAGGAUGAGGCAGGUCACGGGGCUUCAUUCUCUCCGCAGGGCUGGACUCAGAGGGGGCUUCCCCCUGACCUUCACCCCCUCACGCACUCGAUCAAGGGGAAGCCAGGAGUGGGGUCCCAGAGGGGGACACAGAGUUCCCCCAUGAAUGUCCACCUGCUGGACCCCCUGUGUGGUCCUCAGGGGUUCCCUGGGCCUCCACCGAGGGGCCCCCGGAUCAGGGCUGGGCUUCACCCUCUCUCUCCAGCUGCACCUCACCCCUGACCUGUGCAGCCCUGUGUCCUUUUUGUUCCCCUGGCACCGGCUGUGCCUGGGCCCAGACCCACCUUUGCAGGCCGGUGCCUGGCUCCAGCCAUCCUUGGAAAGCUGAGUCCGGCGCUUGCCAGGGCCUCACCACCCCCACUCCUCCGGCUCCGGCUCUCCCCAGACAGCCCUGGAGCCCAGGGUUAGAGCUGCCUCUGUGGCUCAGCCCCCACUCCACCCCAGUGGGCUGCCCAGCCUUAGUUUACCCAGAUGUACAAUGAACAUGGAGAUGAGAGCGCCUGCCUCACUGGACCACCAGGUAGGCAGGGACCCAGCUGGCACCUCCUGCCUCCCUAAACUCCUCUCCUAUGUGCCCCCCAGAGUCAGCCCGACUCUCCCCCAGCCCCAGCAAGGCCUGGCUCGGCGCCCUGGACCACCCAGCUGCUGAAUAUCACACCAGGACCACCAAGCCUGCCUCUGCCCCAGGCCUGGAAGCUUCUCCCCACUCUCCCUGUGGCCAUCUCCUUCACACCCUUCAGUUCCAGCAUGGUCACCUCCUCCGUGAAGCCCUCCGUGAGUCCC
rnacentral:lncRNA from 1 species